rnacentral:lncRNA from 1 species
GGAAGUGCAAAACUUGACAUGAUUUACAUAAAUAAAUACCUAAUGAGCGUGAUAUCUACCCUUAUGCAUACAAUAAGUAACCCUCCCCUUUUCACUAUAAGCCCUCAAAAGUUAUUGCAAAUUAUUACAGCCCGGAAUUAACCAGAAAAGGAAAAGUAAAAUUACAUCAGAAGUUCCAGCUACAUCCAGACAACCUAAUUCAUACUCAAAGUCUAAUAAUAUGAGGUAAGUCAACUUCUCGGAUCAGAUUUCCAAAAGACUUACUCAGAUUUUGGGGGUGUCAAAGUUCCCAAGAGUCUCAAAGGAUUCCGGGCAGUGCUUACACCCCAAAACAUUACAAGAUUAAGAACAUAGUGCAAUGGGAAAUGCCAGCCCUCAGUUGUCCAAGUUCAGAAACAACUCAAAGUCCCAAAGCAAGGCUCAUAAAAAAGGGGAAGAACUUAAGAGUAUAAAAAUAAGUGUAACUGCACAAGGAAAUGGGGAUCAGGGAGAGGCAUGGCAGGAUGGUAGUCAUGCCCAGCAAUUGGAAUGUUGGCACACCCUUGACCAACCUGUUAUCCAAGCAUUGAGAGUUGGGAUCCAUUGUGGAUCAGGAUAUGGUCUGGACAUUAAUUAGGGUAUUGUCAGACCAAAAACCUUAACUCAGGCACAUAAAAGGGAAUAGGGGUAGGAAUUCAUAACAGAAACAUAAUCAAGGAGGAGAAACAUUUAGCACAAAUUACUGAACAAGAGCAGUAAAGUAAAACAAAAGUCUGAAACUGUAAAGUAAACACGUAGGGGUGAAGCAAAGAAUUAAAUAAAAGACAUACCAGUUUCAAAAGAAAGUAAGUAAGAAAAUAGUAGCCUUGAGAGAGCCAAGUUGUAGUUCCAAAAGAUCUCAAGCAAAACAAAGUGUUGAUUUUUUAAAAAAAAAAAGUAUUGCAAGAAAGUAAGUAUUUAGAAAUUUUUUUGUUCGUGUCAAUUUCAGUGUUUGUGUCUCUGUUUUUGCAAAAAAAGAAGUCUAGUCAUUAUAUAGUUUUGAAAAAUAGGCAAUACAUAGGCAAGAGUGCACAAACAUGGAAAUAUCGAUCAAUUAGUAUCAACUAAGACAACUGAACACCUUUAAUUGAGGAGUCUAGUUUAAACGGCUAGUCAAGGUAGAAUAAGGAAAGAAAUUAGUUCAACAGGGCUGACUAGGGCAAAGAAACCACAUAGUGCAUAAAAAAGACAAAAUACAUAGUUAGUAAUUAAGGAAAGUUGGAAUAGUAGUGUAUUUAUAAACUAAAAAUAGGGCAUUAGUUCAAAAUUCAACCAAAAGGAUCUCGGAUCCAAUUGUAAUCACAGGAGAUCCCAAGUAAUUAAGGAAACAAUCAUAUAAGUAUGGAAACGAUUUCAACUUGUAUAGAACUACAGAAGAAAUACACACGGUCAUGUAUUUAAGGAAAACAUAACAAGCAUGAGAUUUUUACACAAAAGGAUCAAAAUAAACAACCAGUUGGGUAACAGAGAUUCAAUCGAAAGAAAUCAGUAAGGAAUCAUUAACCUUAUUAAAGGGAUUUCGAAAUCAAUCACUUGGUUAGUGAAACCUUUAGAAAGAGGAGUUUUUUUUCUCAUAUAAAAAGCAUACAACUUCAACAAAGAAAGUGUUUGACAAUGAAAAAUUCCAGAGUCACAAGCAAAUAGGAUUUCGAGUUUCAAUUACAGACUCACAUCGAGUCUGAAAAUCUAAGGUCCCAAAGUGAAACCCUAGUGCCACUUUUCAUAGAAAAUCCCCAAAUCUUUAGGGUUUCUAAUAGAAUCACAGGUGAGAAGUCAAGGUCAUUGAGAGAGCAAACAUACACAAAGAAGUUCAGAAGAAAGAGAAGCUACAAGUUUUAAAUAAAGUAGGUAAAAAGCAUGCUAGCAGGAACAUAAACAGAACCCAGUAAAGUGAAACAAAAUGAAAGAGUAAGGAACAACAACCCAAGUUAACAUGUGAACAAAGAACAGAAAAAGGUUUUGCACAAUUUGAAAAGAAAUAAAAGAGCAAACAAUAAGAAGAAGAAUAUGCGAGUCUGACAUGGAUAUCACACAUGAAGAGAGAACAAAAAGAGUCAGAAAAACAAAUAAAGAAGCUUUUCCAGAAACUCUAAAAAUCGAAUUUGAACAAAUUAAAAAAAAUAAAAUUUUGGCAAAAAAUCUUAAAAUGUCAAAUAAAGACCAAGCAUGGCACAUAUUAAGAAAAAUAAGUAAGUAUAGAACCUCAGGUGGCUUAUAAACAGCAAAGAAGACCCUAGAAUGAGAAGGUUUGAGGAAAGUCGGAUCCUAAGUCUAGAAAGACUGAUAUUGCUCAAACACGCCAGAAAAUAGUCGGAGAGGCCAUAGAUCUUACAGAUCUGAGAAAGAUCUAAAGGAAGCCAUGGGAGUCGGCCUCCGAACUUUGAUUAGCUUAGGUUUAAAGGUGAGGGAGAGUGAGCACAGGCCAUCCAUGGCCAGGAAUGCCAUGGAUUCUGGUGGAAACGUGACAGAAGUAGGUGGGAAUCAACUAGGCUUUCGGGGAGGGCUAGAGAGGAUUUGGGAGGUGAAGAGAGUUUAAAGGCGGCACAUCUGGUAGAGUGAAUCAGGGUUAAGGGGGUAUGUG